rnacentral:tRNA from 1 species
GCCGUCUAGCUUAAUUGGUAGAGCGCAUGACUUCAAAUUAAUGGAGCUCAGGUUUGAUUCCCGACCCGGACG